GGCACGGAGAGGAGGCGUGGAAGGGGAUCCCGGUUUAAAAGGGAGUUUCAUUCAUAUAAAUGAUCAAGAUUGUGACUGGCAUAUACAGUGGAAAAGGAAGAAGGGCAAGCGUUUUACUAUAAUUUGGAACCUGAACACCUAAGUUACAAAGGCAGAAGAUCUGGCAGCUUCAACACACUUGUUUCAUUACCUUCACACCCAGGGAGGGCAAGAAGCAACAGCAAGGAAUGACAGCUCUGCAGCUCUGCCCCAGGAGAGGAAGGAGAUAUUAGGGAACUGGGCUGGAGAAAAGUGCUGGAUAUUUUUCAUUCUCCCUAAUUUUAAAAACGAUCACAUAUGGGUCAUACACCCCUUUUACUACCUAUAUGCCCAUCCUGCCACCUCUAAGACAUAAAGUUCCAUAGCCAGAGAUACGGGACUGGUGAAAUGAAGAUGGCUUAUGAUGAAACCUGCUGCCUUCUUAAAAUUGCAACCACUGCACCUUUUCUGGAAGCCAGAUCAAGUUUCAAAUCAUCAUCAACUUCUUCACAGUUCAUUCUUCUUAAAUACACAUGGCUAAGGAGUGAGUCCCUGCCGCUUCCUCCCCAGUAUCAGUCUCUUCCAUGCCACAUCUGAAAACAGCGGUCAUUGACCCUUCUUUCGUCCAAUUUCCUUUCCAUAUGUUCAGCAUGCAAUCUUUGGUGCUGAUCAAGAGGAGCCCCAUCCCAUAUCAGCACAGGGAUAUAUUGGCAGUG
rnacentral:lncRNA from 1 species